rnacentral:misc_RNA from 1 species
GAUGAAGAACGCAGCGAAAUGCGAAAAGUAAUGUGAAUUGCAGAAUUCAGUGAACCAUCGAAUCUUUGAACGCACAUUGCGCCCGCUGGAACUCCGGCGGGCACGCCUGUCCGAGCGUCAUUUCAACCCUCAGGCCCCCCUUCGCGGGCGGGCCUGGUGUUGGGGCCCGGCCGCUACCCUGCGGCCGUCCCCUAAAUUCAGUGGCGGCCUCGCCGUGAUCCCUUGCGUAGUAAUGCACCUCGCACCGGAGAGCGCCGUGGCCACGCCGUAAGACCCCCAAUUUUCAAUGGUUGACCUCGGAUCAGGUGGGAAUACCCGCUGAACUUAAGCAUAUCAAUAAGCGGAGGA